ensembl:lncRNA
ACUCAAGACAGAGCUUAAAUUGGAAAUUGUUGAGCGAAAAAAGGAAAUAUAUGAAACUCUUCUCAAAUCUAUCUCGACCACAAUGCAGCCAUGCUAUCAGAGUAAGUUACUGUUAUUUAAUUUGAUGAUACAUUUUAAUUUAAUCCUAACAUAGAAAAGUGAACACUGCUUUGUAUUAGACGCUGCUGCUCAUAGUGGGAAGGGCUCUAUGAGGAAGAAGCAGGAAAUUCUGUUGAACCACAUAGAAUCAUCAAAGAGUGAAAUGUUCCAGAAGGCAAAGACUGAGAUGCUUGAUGAGCUGUAUGAAACACUGAAUUACACCAUGAAGAAGAUAAGAAAAACAUUAACGGAAUCAAUGGAAUACUCACUUUGCAGUGCAAGCACCUUGCCUUACAUGGAUGUUUCCAAGGAAAUAGAGAAAAUGGAAGAAUUGAAAAGGUUCACUCAAGACUGAGCUCAUUUAUCCAAAAAAGAAGUCCAAGGAUGUUUGGUGGAAAUCUCACUCCACUGCUGCUGGCUAAUUUGAUGAUGUUAUGUAUCAGAGUUCAGUAUGUUAUCAGUCACACGACAUUUAAUCUGCCCUGUAGGCCAAAUGUUUUGAUAUUUCAAAUAUUACAUUAGUAUCUUUUACUUUGAGGUCUCUCAUAUUAAAAUACUGUUCAAACUGUCUAUUACGACUUUAUCCAAAGACUAUAAAACAUUUUUCUUAUAAAUUUCUUAGAAUUUCUUUCUACAUAAUCUUGAUUGAAAAAAUGUAACUGUUGCAGCAUAAUUUUAUAGGACAGUUUGAAAACAAUCAGUAGCCAGACCUGCAUUUAUCGCUUUGUCUUUUAAUAUUAGUCAUGUAUAACAAUGGUUGAGGGUUAUUUGUCAUUAUCUUAUUCUAACAAUUGGUUGGCUGUAAGUAUACAUUCAGCUCAUUGAUAAACAUACUUUUGCUGUUGAUAUGGCAGCUGUUCUGAGAGUCACUGGCUACAAAUUUUGACAUUUUGCAACAAAGUACUUCAUCAUAUUGGCAUUGUUCUGUAUCUCCUACCUGCUGUCACUUACUUUUCCUAAUUUUGAUUGUUCACGUCAGUGAUUACUAGACUGCAUACACUGAAGUGAUUUCAAUGAUUUUCUUUUUAUAUACAUACAGAUUUAGUAAACGCUUGUCUUAUUUAACUGGGAUUGGUUUGUAAAUGAAAUAAAGCAUUUAAUCUGAU